AGGGUGGGGGCAGAGCCUGGGGGCGGGGGCAGGGAGGGGCGCAGGCCGGCACACCCAUCUCAGCGCAUGUAUGUACCACAAGGACCUAAGCCAAAGACAGGGAGCUAGUCGGCUGUGCGUUUGGAUCACAGAUUUUCCUUCCCAUAACCCUCUUCUCAUCUUGUAAUGUUAUUUUUAUCGAUUGCAUAUACAGUGUAUAUGUUUAACCAUGGUUUAAUAUUAGAAGAAAGCAAGCAAUGUAUUCUUUCUGCUAUACAUUUUCGUAUUACUUGAAGGCAAUGGAAUAUUCGUUGAUAUAUGGCAAUAUGUGUGUUUUUUUGUUUUUGUUUUUGUUUUUAAUGUCGUUAUUGUGUUCGAUCCAGUUCAUUCCUGCCGGUGGUGCAUCUUUUCCUUUUUAACCUUCGAUUCUAUGUUCAUUUCAGGCUUAGGACUGGGUCAUAUCUUAGGUCACGUGUCAUCUGUUUCACCCUUCCCUUUUAUAAAGUAAUUCACUGUGACAGUUAUUACGGUUCCUUGGCAACACACAGUUCUCUAGCAACCUUUGCAAUGCAAGAAUUGAAGAAUGCAAUAAUUACCGAGGCUCA